rfam:Stegodyphus mimosarum contig13303, whole genome shotgun sequence.
GCCUUCGUGGUGUAGUGGUCAGCUCGCUCGACGCGUAACCGAGAGGUCCGUGGUUCGAUUCCCGGCGAAGGCG